rnacentral:sRNA from 1 species
GAUCUCAGCGAGCUGGAGAGAGACAAUACGGGCCGCUGUCGCCUGAGUUCGCCUGUGCCCGCGGUGUGCCGCAAGGAGCCUUGCGUCCUGGGCGUCGAUGAGGCGGGCAGGGGCCCCGUGCUGGGCCCCAUGGUCUACGCCAUCUGUUAUUGUCCCCUGUCUCGCCUGGCAGAUCUGGAGGCGCUGAAAGUGGCAGACUCAAAGACCCUGUUGGAGAGCGAGCGGGAAAGGCUGUUUGCGAAAAUGGAGGACACGGACUUUGUAGGCUGGGCGCUGGAUGUGCUGUCUCCAAACCUCAUCUCUACCAGCAUGCUUGGGCGGGUCAAGUACAACCUGAACUCCCUGUCACAUGAUACAGCCACUGGGCUUAUACAGUAUGCAUUGUACCAGGGCGUGAACGUCACCCAGGUGAGUUAACUGUAAGUUGUCCCCAUUUGGUCAUCUCAGGAUAAAAUAGGGACAAAACAGGAGUUCGAGACUGCAGUGAGCCAUGAUCAUGCCACAGCACUCCAUCCUGGGUGACAAAGGAAGACCCCCCAACCCAAAAAUGGAGGCAGGGCGCAGUGGCUCACGCCUAUAAUCGCAGCACUUUGGGAGGCCGCGGCGGGUAGAUCACCGGAGGUCAAGAGUUCGAGACCAGCCUGACCAACAUGGUGAAACCCCGUCUCUACUAAAAAUACAAAAAUUAGCUGGACGUGGUGGCAGACGCCUGUAAUCCUAGCUACUCAGGAGGCCGAGGCAGGAGAAUCGCUUGAACCCAGGAGGCAGAAGUUGCAGUGAGCCAAGAUUGUGCCAUUGCACUCCAACCCGGGCAACAGAGCAAGACCCUGUCUCAAAAAAAUAAAAAAUAAAC